GUGGGGAAUAUUGGGCAAUGGGCGAAAGCCUGACCCAGCAACGCCGCGUGAAGGAAGAAGGUCUUCGGAUUGUAAACUUCUUUGAUCAGGGACGAAAGAAAUGACGGUACCUGAAGAACAAGCCACGGCUAACUACGUGCCAGCAGCCGCGGUAAUACGUAGGUGGCAAGCGUUAUCCGGAUUUACUGGGUGUAAAGGGCGUGUAGGCGGUUCUGCAAGUCAGAUGUGAAAUUCCCGGGCUUAACCCGGGCGCUGCAUCUGAAACUGCAGAACUUGAGUACUGGAGAGGAUAGUGGAAUUCCUAGUGUAGCGGUAAAAUGCGUAGAUAUUAGGAGGAACACCAGUGGCGAAGGCGGCUAUCUGGACAGUAACUGACGCUGAGGCGCGAAAGCGUGGGGAGCAAACAGGAUUAGAAACCCUUGUAGUCC
rnacentral:rRNA from 1 species